rnacentral:rRNA from 1 species
UACAGAGGUCCCAAGCGUUGUUCGGAUUCAUUGGGCGUAAAGGGUGCGUAGGUGGCGCCGUAAGUCGGGUGUGAAAUCUCGGGGCUUAACUCCGAAACUGCAUUCGAUACUGCGGUGCUUGAGGACUGGAGAGGAGACUGGAAUUCAUGGUGUAGCAGUGAAAUGCGUAGAGAUCAUGAGGAAGACCAGUGGCGAAGGCGGGUCUCUGGACAGUUCCUGACACUGAGACACGAAGGCCAGGGGAGCAAACGGG